CUGAUUAGUUCAAUCAAAAAAAAAAAAAAAAAAAAAAAAAAAAAAAAAAAAAAACCUUGCGGAGUAAAUAACGUUUUUUAUAAAAUGUUUUAUUAUUGAAUAGUUAAGGACAAGCACGCCAUCAUGUCAAUUGAAGCCUUAAAUGAAACUGUGAAAAGUUUGAUUUCUAUAUUCUAUUACGAAUAAAUUCUCGAAACAAAUCAAUCUCGACCUUAGUGAACGCACAGCUGUAUAUUAGUUAGUGACUAUUAAGAGGUCAAAACCACAGACUUACAAUACCGGGACUUGGGACGGGUUUAUUCCAUCUGGAAUUGGACGGGAAAAAGAUCGCAAUUCUGUGCAUAAUAUAGAGUUAAUUCCAGUAACGCUAAGAUGCUUUAACGUUUUACAGUUAUACAUCAAAUAACUAACCGACUAAUUUGGUUAGAAAAGAUAGCAUAUUUUACAUACCUUUGCGGUUAGUCCAAUGCAAUAAGAAAGAUGUACUCGUUCAAGGUUUCUGGAAAAAGACCCACUUAGUAAGAUUACAGAAAGGUCAGUAAGGCAAAUGCAUUUGACCAAACCUACUCUUUGAAGAUAUGGCAACUUAGCAAUAGCACUUACUGCUAUAUCACUCAAACGAAGGCAACCACCGAAGUCAAUGUAAGUUAUAUUUUUACAUGACUUUAGAAGACAUUGAACACCAAUAUCGGUUAUCUCAUAGCAAUGUCCCAAAUGAAGAGUCGUUAAAGAUUGAGAAAGCUUUGUUAAGCUUAAAAGUGACGAAUCAGUCAAUCCAAUGCAUUUGGAAAGAAAUAGAGAGUUUAAUUUUGAGAACUUACAAGUUAUCAAUUCUAUGUCACUGUCUUUCAAAUCUGGUAAAUUGUUAAGACUUAAUGCCCUCAUUGCAUCUAAUUCACAGUUUAAGUUUAAAAAAGUGAUGAAAUGUGACAAUUCUGUGCAACCAUCCAUAGAUAAUUCUUUCAAACCUCGAUUUCUGGAGACCAACCUAGACAGCGUAUCCGCAUUAUGAAAGCCUUCACAUCCACUAAUAUCUAAUUCAAUCAGGUCUUCUUUUUCAGAAAGUAUUUGUAAUGAGACGUCAGUCAGCUUUCGACAAUUCGGUAUAAUGAGCCGAUUUAAGUACGGACAACGUUUUAUUAUCUGAACCAUACCGGUAUCUUCUACUAACCCACAAUUCCCAAUAUUCAAAGCUUUUAAAUUAGGGCAAUUAUCAGAAAUAUAUUCAAGUAUAUUCGCCGGUAAAGAGAAAAUAUUACUGAAGUUUAUAGUAACCAAGUUCAAAUUCUGAUACAACAGUUUACCAAUAAGAGGCUCGGAAAUGCGAGUACAUCCAGACAAAUUCAGACGAGAAAUCCCUGUUGCUAAUGUCAUUAACAUUAAAUGUUUAUCGGUAAGAAAUUUCCUAACACGAGAGCAAUUCAGCUUGCGCAAAUACCUGAAAUAGUACGAAACAUCCUUGGAGUAUUGUAAAGUAUCAAAAAAGUUAUUUAAUUGAGCUUCGUUUUGAAAUACUACUUUUUCCCAUAAAGUGGGUAUAAUAAAAUUCCUCCAUGAAGUACAAACUGUCGAUUUGCACCUUAGCUCAUCGGCUUCCAAAUAUGAUAAUAUAUUAAAACAAACUUCAUUAGGC